rnacentral:rRNA from 1 species
AGGCCUUGACAUGCAGAGAACUUUCCAGAGAUGGAUUGGUGCCUUCGGGAACUCUGACACAGGUGCUGCAUGGCUGUCGUCAGCUCGUGUCGUGAGAUGUUGGGUUAAGUCCCGCAACGAGCGCAACCCUUGCCUUUAGUUGCCAGCAGUUCGGCUGGGCACUCUAAAGGGACUGCCGGUGUUAAACCGGAGGAAGGUGGGGAUGACGUCAAGUCCUCAUGGCCUUUAUGACCAGGGCUACACACGUACUACAAUGGCCGAUACAAAGGGCAGCGACACUGCGAGGUGAAGCCAAUCCCGUAAAAUCGGUCUCAGUCCGGAUUGGAGUCUGCAACUCGACUCCAUGAAGUUGGAAUCGCUAGUAAUCGUGGAUCAGCAUGCCACGGUGAAUACGUUCCCGGGCCUU